rnacentral:lncRNA from 1 species
CUAUUUAAUACAUAAGUGGACCCAAAAGUGAUCCAAAUUAACCAAAAACUCAAUUUUGUCCGCUUUGGCAUCUGCUUAAGAAGAUGGGGCGCACCUUGGGAGCGGAUGCUACUGUUUUGACUUGCUCAAGCAGGUCAAGUGCACCUGGGGCGCAGGUCCUACUAAAAGGGACUUUUUACCCCUGAUUUGCACUCCUUUGACCCCUCUAAGGCCCUUUGGUCCUUCUUGUAUGAUUUGGGCACUCUAAAAUACUUUUUAAAUGGUAUCUAGAUGGUUUGGAACAGAUCUAACUCCUUCAAUAUCAUGAGAGUUUUUGUAGUCCUUGGGCUUGCCUUCUUGUUGAGGUUUUAGGAUAAAUUCAGCUUCUGGCUCCAAGCUAUCCUCCACACAUGGUGUUGAGCUCUUGAGAGCUUGAAAAUGGUUCCCCAAACAUAUCUUUGCCUACCAUAGAUGACCAUGGCUUGGGUACUUUAUGUCGGCCUUGGAUUGUAGUCCUUGAAAGUUUGAUGUCGAUUUGGCUUGUAUCACCUGAUAUAACUUUAAUUUGUCUUUGCAAUCGUACUUGAAUUUCCAUCUCUAUGUACUCAUCAGAGUAAUGACGGAUCGAUAUGCAUUCAUAUCAAUCUCUUCCUCGUCUCUCUCUCUCUCUCUCUGCAAUCGUACUUGAAUUACUCUUGUCCACAGCCGCUGCUGCCUUGAGAUUUU